rnacentral:rRNA from 1 species
UGCCCCUUAUGACCUGGGCUACACACGUGCUACAAUGGAUAGUACAAAGGGUCGCGAAGCCGCGAGGUGGAGCUAAUCCCAUAAAACUAUUCUCAGUUCGGAUUGUAGGCUGCAACUCGCCUACAUGAAGCCGGAAUCGCUAGUAAUCGUGGAUCAGCAUGCCACGGUGAAUACGUUCCCGGGCCUUGUACACACCGCCCGUCACACCACGAGAGUUUGUAACACCCGAAGUCGGUAGGGUAACCUUUAUGGAGCCAGCCGCCGAAGGUGGGACAGAUAAUUGGGGUGAAGUCGUAACAAGGUAGCCGUAUCGGAAGGUGCGGCUGGAUCACCUCCUUUCUAAGGAA